rnacentral:sRNA from 1 species
CUUUCCCCCACCCUGCCACACCCUGGGAGAAAAAACUAGACUUUGGCUUCAGAAAGCACAGAUGUGACCCAGGCUUACUAAAGAGACAACUCCACAGCCCUGGGAACACACCCUUGAGCCAAACUUGGUUGAAGACUAGGUCUUCCCUGGCAAGUUCCGGAAGAAUGGACUUACUGACUUUUAUCAACUCUUCUCACUGCCAAGGCCAACAGCAUCUGAGGUAUAGCUUUUUGGGAGUACCUGCUUUCUUGCCUCCUGGAGGAUAUUUUCUGUCCUGGGCUUCAUGGCCCCUCUCUUCCCUGUUACACAUUGCUGUGCUCAGAGC